rnacentral:rRNA from 1 species
CCGGCACGGGUGAGUAACACGUAUCUAACCUGCCGUCUACUCUUGGACAGCCUUCUGAAAGGAAGAUUAAUACAAGAUGGCAUCAUGAGUUCACAUGUUCACAUGAUUAAAGGUAUUCCGGUAGACGAUGGGGAUGCGUUCCAUUAGAUAGUAGGCGGGGUAACGGCCCACCUAGUCUUCGAUGGAUAGGGGUUCUGAGAGGAAGGUCCCCCACAUUGGAACUGAGACACGGUCCAA